AUGAAGUUGAUUUUUCCUUGAUCAGACAAAGGUUAACACAAAUGUUCUGUGUGGUGAUUUGGGUUCUGAUUGAAACGUUUCAUUGGUUGGCUUCUUGGGGCGGAAUCAGGAUUUUUUUUACUGAGAAAAUUUAUAAUAUAGAAAGUAAACAUAUGAGGAAGCUAAAGCGAUUCAACGCACGCACACACAUAUAUAUAUAAAUUUAAUUUAUAGUAUAAUUUUUCGACCAACUGAAUAUCGAUUGAUUUACCUUGGACAUAUGGUGGCUCCGCCAUAAAGGGUGUCCCUACGAGCACUAAAGUCUUGAACAUGCUACAAAAAGAGGAAAUGAGGUAGGUGUCCUUUGCAUUUGGCAGCUACUAGAGAUGAUCUUUUUGACAGCUAGAGAUUUGAGAUUUUGGACCACCAAUUUAAUUAUGUUUUCUGGUUUUGUCAUAAUGUAGAAAAUAGUCGUUAUGGAUUACCAAGUGUUUAGGUGGUUAGAUUUGUUUUCAACAACAUUAAUUUGGUGUAAUACAUGGCCAACAUUAAGGGGCGCCUCCAACCAAACAGUGUGUUAUCUUCUUAGACUUUCUCGACAGUUUUAUAUGUGAAAAUGUGAAUGGGAAAAUUCUCUUCCUCUGUUUGGUUUGUGGAAGAUAAAAGAAAGUGUUUUGAAGACUAUUUUCAACUACACAAAUGUUUUCUUUACAUGUGUUGUAAUUAUAAAGAUAGAUGUGGU
rnacentral:lncRNA from 1 species